AUGUUGGUGAAGCUAAUAGAUGGGCGAUGGCAGGUGACGCACUUUGUUUGUGACCAUAAUCAUCCGCUGGUUAACAAACCUUCGUUGUCCAAAUACUUGAGAUCUCAUCAAGGCAUCUCUCCUAAUGAAAAGGAGUUUUUGCACAUCUUGUAUAACUGCAAGUUGACUACAGGACGUAUGAUGCAUGUAAUGGCAGAGUUCUAUGGAUCUGAGAUGAUGGUGCUGUUCGGACCAAAGGCAAUAACAAAUCUGUGUACAAGUUUCCGUAGAGAUGACACAAAGGAGGGUGACAUGAUUGAGACAAUUGCGCACUUCAAGGAUAUACAAAAAAACCGAUCCAGACUUCUUCUAUAA
rnacentral:rRNA from 1 species